rnacentral:rRNA from 1 species
CUGCGGAUAGCUCCGGGAACUGGAAUUAAUACCGCAUACGCCCUACGGGGGAAAGAUUUAUCGGGGAAGGAUUGGCCCGCGUUGGAUUAGCUAGUUGGUGGGGUAAAGGCCUACCAAGGCGACGAUCCAUAGCUGGUCUGAGAGGAUGAUCAGCCACAUUGGGACUGAGACACGGCCCAAACUCCUACGGGAGGCAGCAGUGGGGAAUAUUGGACAAUGGGCGCAAGCCUGAUCCAGCCAUGCCGCGUGAGUGAUGAAGGCCUUAGGGUUGUAAAGCUCUUUCACCGAUGAAGAUAAUGACGGUAGUCGGAGAAGAAGCCCCGGCUAACUUCGUGCCAGCAGCCGCGGUAAUACGAA